GAUGAACGCUGGCGGCGUGCCUAAUACAUGCAAGUCGAACGAAACUUCUUUAUCACCGAGUGCUUGCACUCACCGAUAAAGGGUUGAGUGGCGAACGGGUGAGUAACACGUGGGCAACCUGCCCAAAAGAGGGGGAUAACACUUGGAAACAGGUGCUAAUACCGCAUAACCAUAGUUACCGCAUGGUAACUAUGUAAAAGGUGGCUAUACUACCGCUUUUGGAUGGGCCCGCGGCGCAUUAGCUAGUUGGUAGGGUAAAGGCUUACCAAGGCAAUGAUGCGUAGCCGAAUUGAGAGGUUGAUCGGCCACAUUGGGACUGAGACACGGCCCAAACUCCUACGGGAGGCAGCAGUAGGGAAUCUUCCACAAUGGGCGAAAGCCUGAUGGAGCAACGCCGCGUGGGUGAAGAAGGUCUUCGGAUCGUAAAACCCUGUUGUUAGAGAAGAAAGUGCGUGAGAGUAACUGUUCACGUUUCGACGGUAUCUAACCAGAAAGCCACGGCUAACUACGUG
rnacentral:rRNA from 1 species